rnacentral:rRNA from 1 species
AUUGAACGCUGGCGGAAUGCUUUACACAUGCAAGUCGAACGGCAGCACGGACUUCGGUCUGGUGGCGAGUGGCGAACGGGUGAGUAAUGUAUCGGAACGUGCCCAGUCGUGGGGGAUAACGUAGUGAAAAUUACGCUAAUACCGCAUACGAUCUAUGGAUGAAAGCGGGGGAUCGCAAGACCUCGCGCGAUUGGAGCGGCCGAUAUCAGAUUAGGUAGUUGGUGGGGUAAAGGCCACCAAGCCAACGAUCUGUAGCUGGUCUGAGAGGACGACCAGCCACACUGGAACUGAGACACGGUCCAGACUCCUACGGGAGGCAGCAGUGGGGAAUUAUGGACAAUGGGCGAAAGCCUGAUCCAGCCAUUCCGCGUGCAGGAUGAAGGCCCUCGGGUUGUAAACUGCUUUUGUACAGAACGAAAAGGUUUCUACUAAUACUAGGAGCUCAUGACGGUACUGUAAGAAUAAGCACCGGCUAACUACGUGCCAGCCGCCGCGGUAA